GCGGUGGUGUAAAGGUUAGCAUGGUUGCCUUCCAAGCAGUCCAUUUGGGUUCGAUUUCCGACAGACGCA